rnacentral:rRNA from 1 species
GUGGGGAAUUUUGGACAAUGGGCGCAAGCCUGAUCCAGCCAUUCCGCGUGCAGGAUGAAGGCCUUCGGGUUGUAAACUGCUUUUGUACGGAACGAAAAGCCUCUGGUUAAUACUCGGGGGUCAUGACGGUACCGUAAGAAUAAGCACCGGCUAACUACGUGCCAGCAGCCGCGGUAAUACGUAGGGUGCGAGCGUUAAUCGGAAUUACUGGGCGUAAAGCGUGCGCAGGCGGUGAUGUAAGACAGUUGUGAAAUCCCCGGGCUCAACCUGGGAACUGCAUUUGUGACUGCAUUGCUGGAGUGCGGCAGAGGGGGAUGGAAUUCCGCGUGUAGCGGUGAAAUGCGUAGAUAUGCGGAAGAACACCGAUGGCGAAGGCAAUCCCCUGGGCCUGCACUGACGCUCAUGCACGAAAGCGUGGGGAGCAAACAGGAUUAGAUACCCGGGUAGUCC